rnacentral:rRNA from 1 species
AACGAACGCUGGCGGCAUGCCUAACACAUGCAAGUCGAACGAGACCUUCGGGUCUAGUGGCGCACGGGUGCGUAACGCGUGGGAACCUGCCUUUAGGUUCGGAAUAACUCAGAGAAAUUUGAGCUAAUACCGGAUAAUGUCUUCGGACCAAAGAUUUAUCGCCUUUAGAUGGGCCCGCGUAAGAUUAGCUAGUUGGUGGGUAAAGGCCUACCAAGGCGACGAUCUUUAGCUGGUCUGAGAGGAUGAUCAGCCACACUGGGACUGAGACACGGCCCAGACUCCUACGGGAGGCAGCAGUGGGGAAUAUUGGGACAAUGGGCGAAAGCCUGAUCCAGCAAUGCCGCGUGAGUGAUGAAGGCCUUAGGGUUGUAAAGCUCUUUUACCCGAGAUGAUAAUGACAGUAUCGGGAGAAUAAGCU